rnacentral:rRNA from 1 species
GAAACUACAAAGGAAUUGACGGGGCCCGCACAAGCGGUGGAGCAUGUGGUUUUAAUUCGAUGCAACGCGAAGAACCUUACCUACUCUUGACAUCCAGAGAACUUAGCAGAGAUGCUUUGGUGCCUUCGGGAACUCUGAGACAGGUGCUGCAUGGCUGUCGUCAGCUCGUGUUGUGAAAUGUUGGGUUAAGUCCCGCAACGAGCGCAACCCUUAUCCUUGUUUGCCAGCGAGUAAUGUCGGGAACUCCAGGGAGACUGCCGGUGAUAAACCGGAGGAAGGUGGGGACGACGUCAAGUCAUCAUGGCCCUUACGAGUAGGGCUACACACGUGCUACAAUGGCGCAUACAGAGGGCGGCCAACUUGCGAAAGUGAGCGAAUCCCAAAAAGUGCGUCGUAGUCCGGAUUGGAGUCUGCAACUCGACUCCAUGAAGUCGGAAUCGCUAGUAAUCGUGAAUCAGAAUGUCACGGUGAAUACGUUCCCGGGCCUU